UAGUCCACGCUGUAAACGAUGGAUACUAGGUGUAGCAGGCCUCGACCCUUGCUGUGCCGUAGCUAACGCAUUAAGUAUCCCGCCUGGGGAGUAUGGCCGCAAGGUUGAAACUCAAAGGAAUUGACGGGGGCCCGCACAAGCGGUGGAGGAUGUGGUUUAAUUCGACGCAACGCGAAGAACCUUACCAAGACUUGACAUCCUGCGAAUGUUUUAGAAAUAAGACGGUGCUCGAAAGAGAACGCAGAGACAGGUGGUGCAUGGCUGUCGUCAGCUCGUGUCGUGAGAUGUUGGGUUAAGUCCCGCAACGAGCGCAACCCUCGACAUUAGUUGCCAUCAUUAAGUUGGGGACUCUAAUGUGACUGCCGGUGACAAACCGGAGGAAGGUGAGGACGACGUCAAGUCAUCAUGCCCCUUACGUCUUGGGCUACACACGUCCUACAAUGGUAGGGACAGAGGGCAGCGAGACUGCAAGUUAAGCGAAUCCCAAAAACCCUGCCUCAGUUCGGAUUG
rnacentral:rRNA from 1 species